rnacentral:rRNA from 1 species
GGGAUCCGAACGGGUGCACGCGAUGCUUGCUCUGUGGGAUCAGUGGCGAACGGGUGAGUUCACGUGAGCUCCCUGCCCCUGACUCUGGGAUAAGCGCUGGAUACGGCGUCUAAUACUGGAUAUGUGACGUGAUCUCAUGGUCUGCGUCUGGAAAGAAUUGCGGUUGGGGAUGGGCUCGCGGCCUAUCAGCUUGUUGGUGAGGUAAUGGCUCACCAAGGCGUCGACGGGUAGCCGGCCUGAGAGGGUGACCGGCCACACUGGGACUGAUACACGGCCCAGACUCCUACGGGAGGCAGCACUGGGGAAUAUUGCACAAUGGGCGCAAGCCUGAUGCAGCAACGCCGCGUGAGGGACGACGGCCUUCGGGUUGUAAACCUCUUUUAGCAGGGAAGAAGCGAAAGUGACGGUACCUGCAGAAAAAGCGCCGGCUAACUACGUGCCAGCAGCCGCGGUAAUACGUAGGGCGCAAGCGUUAUCCGGAAUUAUUGGGCGUAAAGAGCUCGUAGGCGGUUUGUCGCGUCUGCUGUGAAAUCCGGAGGCUCAACCUCCGGCCUGCAGUGGGUACGGGCAGACUAGAGUGCGGUAGGGGAGAUUGGAAUUCCUGGUGUAGCGGUGGAAUGCGCAGAUAUCAGGAGGAACACCGAUGGCGAAGGCAGAUCUCUGGGCCGUAACUGACGCUGAGGAGCGAAAGGGUGGGGAGCAAACAGGCUUAGAUACCCUGGUAGUCCACCCCGUAAACGUUGGGAACUAGUUGUGGGGUCCAUUCCACGGAUUCCGUGACGCAGCUAACGCAUUAAGUUCCCCGCCUGGGGAGUACGGCCGCAAGGCUAAAACUCAAAGGAAUUGACGGGGACCCGCACAAGCGGCGGAGCAUGCGGAUUAAUUCGAUGCAACGCGAAGAACCUUACCAAGGGCUUGACAUAUACGAGAACGGGCCAGAAAUGGUCAACUCUUUGGACACUCGUAAACAGGUGGUGCAUGCUGUCGUCAGCUCGUGUCGUGAGAUGUUGGGUUAAGUCCCGCAACGAGCGCAACCCCUCGUUCUAUGUUGCCAGCACGUAAUGGUGGGAACUCAUGGGAUACUGCCGGCUCACUCGGAGGAGGUGGGGAUGACGUCAAAUCAUCAUGCCCUAUGUCUGGGCUCACGCAUGCUACAUGACGUACAAAGGGCUGCAUACGUGAGGUGGAGCGAUCCUAAAAGCGUUCCAGUCCGAUGGAGGUCUGCACCUCGACUCAUGAGUCGGAUCGUCUGGGUAUAUCGAACCUUGGGAACGUGUCUCAUAUCGUUGACACUG